rnacentral:rRNA from 1 species
CCUACGGGGGGCAGCAGUGAGGAAUAUUGGUCAAUGGGCGCGAGCCUGAACCAGCCAAGUCGCGUGAGGGAAGACGGUCCUAUGGAUUGUAAACCUCUUUUGUCGGGGAGCAAAAGACGCCACGCGUGGCGUUCCGAGAGUACCCGAAGAAAAAGCAUCGGCUAACUCCGUGCCAGCAGCCGCGGUAAGACGGAGGAUGCGAGCGUUAUCCGGAUUUAUUGGGGUUAAAGGGUGCGCAGGCGGAAGAUCAAGUCAGCGGUAAAAUUGAGAGGCUCAACCUCUUCGAGCCGUUGAAACUGGUGUUCUUGAGUGAGUGAGAGGUAUGCGGAAUGCGUGGUGUAGCGGUGAAAUGCAUAGAUAUCACGCAGAACUCCGAUUGCGAAGGCAGCAUACCGGCGCUCAACUGACGCUCAUGCACGAAAGUGUGGGUAUCGAACAGGAUUAGAUACCCCAGUAGUC